AAAACUUUAAGUUAAAUAAAACUAAUAGCCUUCAAAGUUAUAAAUAAAAAAAUAUUUUUAAGUUUUA
rnacentral:tRNA from 1 species